UUGCUUACGUAGCAGAACAGACACCAGGACACAAAGGUGGUUUUCCUAAAGUAAGGCUAAUCCAUUGCAUUGGGCUUUGCCGACCUCUAGAAUUUCUCCUAAUUCAGGAAAGUCCACUGUGCGAUUUGUGGCCGUGGGGGACUGCAUUUCCCUC
rnacentral:snRNA from 1 species